rnacentral:rRNA from 1 species
AGCUCCAAUAGCGUAUAUUAAAGUUGCUGCAGUUAAAAAGCUCGUAGUUGCAUUUCCGAGGCAAGGGAUUAGUCCGACCUUUGGUGGGUAUUUAAUCCUCUUGCCUCGUCCUUGAGUGGUGCUUCUUGGUAUUAAGUUAUCGAGGAGAUAGCCGCUCAUCGUUUACUGUGAGAAAAUUAGAGUGUUCAAAGCAGGCUUAUGCCGUUGAAUAUAUUAGCAUGGAAUAAUAAGAGAGGACCUCGGUACUAUUGUGUGGGUUUGAGAACCAAGGUAAUGAUGAAUAGGGACAGUUGGGGGUAUUCGUAUUCAGUUGUCAGAGGUGAAAUUCUUAGAUUUACGGAAGACGAACUACUGCGAAAGCAUUUACCAAGGAUGUUUUCA